rnacentral:rRNA from 1 species
GACGAACGCUGGCGGCGCGCUUAACACAUGCAAGUCGAGCGAGAACCAGGGCUUCGGCCCUGGGGACAGCGGCGAACGGGUGAGUAACACGUGGGUAAUCUGCCCUCGGCACCGGAGUAGCCCGGGGAAACCCGGAUUAAUGCCGGAUGGCCCCUUCACCUCGUGAGGUGUCGGGAAAAGGUAGCUUCGGCCUCCGGCCGAGGAUGAGCCCGGCGCGGAUUAGCUUGUUGGCGGGGUAACGGCCCACCAAGGCGACGAUCCGUAGUUGGUCUGAGAGGACGAUCAGCCACACUGGGACUGAGACACGGCCCAGACUCCUACGGGAGGCAGCAGUGGGGAAUUUUGGACAAUGGGCGAAAGCCUGAUCCAGCAAUGCCGCGUGGGUGAAGAAGGCCUUCGGGUUGUAAAGCCCUUUCGGAUAGAAAGAAAACUCUUACUCUAACAUAGUGAGAGAAUGACGGUACUAUCAUAAGAAGCACCGGCUAACUACGUGCCAGCAGCCGCCGCGGUAA